rnacentral:tRNA from 1 species
GUGAUCGUAGCUCAACCGGUUAGAGCGCCAGAUUGUGGAUCUGGAGGUUGCGGGUUCAAGUCCCGUCGGUCACC